GGUUGAUCCUGCCAGUAGCAUAUGCUUGACUGGAAGAUUAAGCCAUGCAUGUCUAAGUAUAAGUUAUAUAUGGCGAAACUGCGAAUGGCUCAUUAAAACAGUUAUAAUUUAUUUGAUGAUUUUUUUACAUGGAUAACCGUGGGAAACUGGGGCUAAUACAUGCACAAAGGCCGCAAGGCUGUAUUUAUUAGUUUCAAAUCAAUAUAACCUAGUUAUUUUGUGAGGAAUCAUAAUAACUUAACGGAGCGCAGCGAUGCGCCGCAUCAUUCAAGUUUCUGCCCUAUCAGCUUUGG
rnacentral:rRNA from 1 species